rnacentral:rRNA from 1 species
GCGUUGCUCGGAAUUACUGGGCGUAAAGGGCGCGUAGGCGGACAGUUUAGUCAGAGGUGAAAGCCCAGGGCUCAACCUUGGAAUUGCCUUUGAUACUGGCUGUCUUGAGUACGGGAGAGGUGUGUGGAACUCCGAGUGUAGAGGUGAAAUUCGUAGAUAUUCGGAAGAACACCGGUGGCGAAGGCGACACACUGGCCCGUUACUGACGCUGAGGCGCGAAAGCGUG